CCGCGUUGAUCUAUUUUGGUAAAAUCUAUUUUUGUGGCACUAAUAAUGAAUUGAAUUUGCAGAGUCUCUCAGAAAUCUACAAGUUGUAACAUGUACCGAGGCGAUCGCAGUUAUUAGUGGCAGAUCUGUGAGACGUCCCAAAGCAACAAAGUACAUCAAACAAGAAGCAAUACUGAAUAGGGCCUGGCAAUUAUAUGAAGAGGGGGCCUUGGAUGUUACAGCGUUUCUUGGUUGUGCGAACCAUUUCCUCCGUGCAUUUAAUAACGACGUAUUAAUCGAUAAUGUGGAGGCGGUCGACUACUUCACAACAAUACAGGAGCAUGUCGUUGGCAUCCCACCCAUAGCAGCUGAAAUCGAAGCCGUAAGAGUCGACCAACCGAUUGGAGAAAUCCCUUUUGCUACUGUUCCACCUGCUAAUGACGGUUUGGAAAUCCUAUUGUUGCGAAGAUUAGAUCAGUGCAUCUGUGAUUUAUGCAAUAAUUCCAUCGUGGAAUAUGUUGCAUCACCAUGCAGGCACUGGUUUGGAUGUAAAAACUGUACGCUGCUCUACGUCCAUACAGCUUUAGAGAUGAAUGCUUUCUUGAAGUGUCUUUGGUGUCGCCAAGAGUAUCGUGGAUUUCAACGUAUCCUUGUCACCUAAACAUCUCUGCGGGAAAUUCAACGGUUCAGAGGCAUCUUCGGCUGAAUAUGAAUUUUUUGGAGAUUUUAGGACAGUCUCAUUGAAAGAAGAGUGAUUCGUAAUAGUUUUCAAAUAUUAGUUAUACCUAGUAGUUAUACCUGGACUCCAGUAUUCCGAGCAGUUGUUCACCGUGAUGAGUGUUUGAUUAGUGUCUGUAUGUGACCAUGCAAUGAGAUCUGCAUAAUAAUUAAGUUUGCAGUUUCAAUAUUAUAAUUCUAUCCCAAAACGACGCAAAAGUAAUUGAUUUCUGCUGAAAGGAAAAAAAAACAAACUCACCGAUUCACAGAAAACUGUUUUUAUUCCACGAGUAGAAACUAAUGAGAUCUCUUCAGAGAUUAUUUUCAUAUUUUUUCAUUUUUUCCAAUGUAAUCACUUAGUAUCUUCAAUAAACUAUGAUAUGAAUUUAA